GUCGCACAACACAGUCUGGCAGAACGUCCAAAACGAAAAGCCUUCAUCCUGUGCCACCAGUCUGAAUGCCACGUGAAGAACAGUUAGAUGUUUAAUCAUGUGUCAAGCUUGUCUGAUAGGCUGUCACUUUUAAAUCUUAAAUCAAAAUGCUAUGGUGUUUUUUCCCCCCUCAACACUGUAACACAUAUCAGGCUUAGCAAGGCAAGUAAUGUGUGACAGCUCUGCACAGCACUAACACUAGCAAGAACGGCUUUUGUGAACAUAAAAGAAAAAGAUUUUUGGCAUUGUGUUAUAGCAGCACCAUCGCGGUGAUCUGUACUGUUCAUUAUCUGUUUUAAUAUUCUCUCUGAAUGUGCACAAUACCUGAAAAGCAAAAAUGAGCUCAAAGCAGCAUCUUGCCCGACAACAGCACUACGCUGUGCCCACGUGCCCCAGCCUGAGCCUGUGAGCUGGCCUGCCUUCCUCCAGACUCGGCAUGAACCACGCUGAGCAUCAGGUCACUCAGCACCAGGUCAGGGGCAUUCUGCCUCUCCCUGAAAGCCCAUAAAUGGGGUUUUAUGAACACCGGCAGGACAUGGUUCUUGGUGCAUAUUUGUCUGAGUGGUGCAAUGACUUCUUGGCUCACCUUGUGGCACGACUUGCAGGCUGAUUCAGGUUGUGCUUCUACUUGCACAUGUGAAACUAUCCAGUACAAUUCAGGCCCAUGCUGUGGGUGUCCAGACUAAAGAGGCCUUUGGAGUCAUUGCAGCUGAGCUGUAGCAUUCAGGGGGUACUGUGCUGUCUCAUCACCCGAGGUUUCAGCAGCAGCUGAUAUCAUUUGAUUUAGUUACAUUUAUUUCACCAGGAGCCUACAGAUAUCUGCAAACAGACCUGGCAUUAUAUGUUAAUUUU